GAGAUCGCAGAUAAUGAGCUUGCAAGGGUAAUUGGUUAGCUUCUUCAUCUUUGAUAUUAGCCCUACUAGACGUUAGUAUGGCUAUGGCCACGUUGUAGAAGCAUCAGCUUAUGUCAAGGAAGUUCAGUCGAUUGAGAGCUCUUUAUCUAGGUGGUUGUUAUUUUUCUACUGAAACUAUCAUCGACUGUAAUGAUAUAGGUGGGGAUGGUGAAUGAAUGCAACAUACCUUCAGGGACUCGGUAAUGUGAGAAGUUGUUGGCGAGCUACAGAUUGGUGUGUCUUUUGAUGUUGCCUUGUGAAGCAUAUGCUGACAGUAUAUAAGAUGGAGGUGGAUUAAACUUCAUGGCAAGGUCAGCCUCACCCCCACAACCAGAAUGAACUCCCAAGAGUUAAUACAAAUAAUAGUUAUUGGUAACAUAUGUUUUUCGUACUAAUAUGAUGAAGUUAUGAAUAGGCCUUAGAUGUCCUUCUUUUUUCAUUUUCUACAUUUGUGAUUGCAAAUUGAUUUAAUUCCAGAAUGGCCAUCAAGGCAUCAAUUCAAAUCAACAGCAGCUUCCUGUUGUAUAGUUCUUUUUCUUUACACCUCUUUUUUUUAAUGGCCACGUAUUUGGAUUUGGUAUUCAUUUUUUGGCUAAUUUUCUUCCUGCUUAUAAUUGUAUGAGGUAUAUCAUUUCUGGGUUUUUUCAUGUCUGUUAAGGAAAUUUCAUUAGUUCUUUGUCCCUGGAAAAAUAGCCAAUUCCUUGCUGAAUAUACUAGGGUGAUAUUCAGGUCCAACCAUUGAUCUCUCGCCCAUAAAGAAGAGUGUGUGUAAGAAGUCAUGUUCAUGAGAAUCUGUUCGAACACUAAAAUAAUAUGCUCACGUCCUAUUUCUUUUGCUCACGUCAUAUGCUCCUUUUGCUAAGAGUGAAAUCAAGCUCAUGCCACAGAACUUGUCCCGAGGAUUAGAAUUGUUGGUAAGCUCAUAUUAUUCACCUCACUUUGAUUAAACCCUGCCCAUGCUUUUUUCCAUCUCUUGUGCCUCCAGGCAUCAGGGAGUGGAAAUUGAGCUUCCGCACAUAUAUAUGCACUUAUACUGCUGUUGUUAUGGUAUGCUCGCCUUCUUGUUUCGCACUGAUUCCCGAUACCGAGCAUUUAUUGAAUUUUCGGGCAACCUUUAUCCUGUUUCAGUACUGUCUGUACAUUCAAUUGUGUAGUAUUGAGAACAAGCAAGUGCGUGUAUGUUUGCCCUAUCUCAGGACGCUCCACGAUAGCCAACUGGUGCUCAGCGGUAGGGCUCUGUUCUUCAUCGCGAGUCGUUCGAUCUAGAAGCGCAGCCCGCGUCAAUCCUCGCCAUCCCCCACUCCCAGUUCCCCUCAACGCGGGGUAAAACCCUAGCCCCGAGCCGCCGCCAGCCUCAUUCUCUUCCUCGUCUGUUCCUCUCUCCCACGGCCCGCAUUGUUGCCCUCCUUCCAUUGCGAUGCCACCCGACCUGCCUCCAUGGAACGCCCCACCUCUCCUCCUUCAUCCUUCUCCUUCUCCCUCGAUGAGCUCGCACUACCCCCUCGCUCUGCCUCUCCUUCGUGCUCGGUGGGCCGAACGCACGUGGCCAUGGCGACCAGUGGAGGAGAACAACUAACCAACUAGAAAAGCAGCAGGACCGACAUCGACAAAAAUUCCUUCACGGCACCGCAGCAGUCAGGAUCAGAAGGUUGUUUUACUUGAUGGAGGUGCACACCGUUCAGACUUCAGAGUAUGCAGACAAGACAAGCAAUGAACUUCAAUUUUAUUUUCCCAUGUGGGUGCUCCAGUGAGCAUGAUAAAUUGUGUUUAACCUGCUACGUACUGGGUACAGUGCGUACAGUAAAUUAAUCUUUAGACUGACUGAUUUCACACAAAUAAUUGAUGCAAAAAAUCUUUGGCAUAUAAUUUUUGUGUUAGGGCCCUCUACAUGUUUGUUGUGAUGCUUCAUACAGCUGAAUCUAUCUGCUUGAUGUUUUUUGACCGCCUACACAUGCUCAUAGACAGCGCACGUAACUGGCGAGCAAAUGCCAUCGUGGCCCAUGGGUGCAAUUGGGUGGUCAUUGUGACCUAGCUGAAACUUGAUGAGAUCCGCAUGACAGAAACUGUAUGUGUAGCAAAGUUUGGAUGAGAAUGUUCAAUUAGUUGGAAUUCAGGUGGCUCCCUAUGUGGGAAUUGAGGUGAUCAGAAGUUCAUGAAAGUUUUAAGAAAUGGGUUUGGAUGAUUGAAGCUUCCAUGUUCAUUGCCAACCCGCCUGAUCCUCCAGAAAUGAUUACAGACCAGACAAGAUACUUGACAUAGUUCCAAUCGCGUGUGUACGUCUUCCUUAAAUGGCUUUUUUCGAAGAAGCUCAGAAUUAAUCGAUGAUGGUAGUUUCCUGGUAAGACGACCAUGCAGAUUUGCAUGCCAAGGUCCAAGACAAGUACCUCCCAUGACUUGAUGAAGCAUCUGACCGAGAGCUUUCACAUCGAAGACUGGACAGGGGCGGCAUGCCAACAGGAAAAUUGUGAACAAAGAGAACUGCGAUGGACCCUCAGAAGAAUUGAUCGAAGCAUACGGCAAUAAGGAACCAACAGAGUACGAAAUUGGGCAGUGAUUGGGAUGAUGAGAUCGGGCUGCUACCGUAUGGCAAGGAGGACGGUUUUCUGGUAACAGGUGCAGCCAUUAUCAAAUCAAGGUGCUCUUGUAUGGUGAGCGAUCUAUCUUUCUUCAAUCUCCAGAAUAAGUGCACUAUCAGGUUGACCCUCAUAGCCCUUGUGCAGUUCAUCUUCAUCUCUUUCAGUUUUCAUGUAUAGUCUGAACAACUGUUUGUUCUCAUUCCUGGUGUAAUGGUUAGUGGCUAAUACAUUUCCUUGAAAUUUGUGCUUCAUUCCCCAUCUGUCUGGAUUAAGGUUUGAUUCUCAUGACAUGUGAUGUUUAAUAUAGUUCUGUCUAUAGGAUAUAUUUAGAGGCAAUAGAAUAUGUUUGGUUUAGCUAGAUGCCUUCAUAUUUUACUAGGCCUUCCAGUGGUAGCUGCAUGUUCUCAUCAAAUUGUUAGCAGCAUGCCAUAAAAAUGAUUUUAGAAAUAGUUUGUGUGCCAUAAUAGAGAUUUCAAAUUUUGAUUUCUCUCCUAUCGAUUCUCAGUGUCACAUAAUCAUGCGAUGUAUGCAAUCUUAGUUAAAUACGCUUCCUUGGCAAAAGAAACCAUGCUUCUGUCUUUGUUAAAAUGUUCAUAUAAGGAGCUAAAAAGGAAACAAUAGUGGCAUGAUUGAUUUUGCUUCCCAUGAACAUUUUCUCAAAGUUUGCAACACGAUAUUAGAAUUGAUGUUACAUCUUGCUUGUAUGCUCCAAUAUGGUUGUCUGGACAUGUCCUAAGGGUGACCAUUUACUGAUGCAAAGUGUGCAGGAAGGCAUUUCACUCCUUGGAUCUGUCCAUCGGCUUCUUGCCCAUGAGUGCUAGGAAAAUCUAGAAAACGAUUUAUCAAACCUUUUGACAUGUCAUCUUUAUAUAUCGUAUAUGACCUAAGACUACUUCCUAAUUCCUAUAUGUUAAUACUUUUGCAUAUAUCAUCUUGAUUUUACUAGCACCAGAAGUUUACGCUCUUGCAGUGAUUGAGAAUGUGCUUUGGCCCUUUCUGUAUGUUUGACAUAGAUGGUUAUCAUCUAGGAUAUCACCAGAUAUCAAUGACUAUAGAAGUGUUGUUUGGAUCGACAGAAAACGAAGUACUCCUUCGGUUGAUAUCGUAUAUGCAGCACCAGUGUUCUGUGAAACCACAAUAGGUACAGAGGAAGGAGAUGAAGUGCUGUAACAUAGGUGUCAGAUUGGCCGCAGAAGAUUAGUAGUUUCUACAGAUUUCCUUGUAGCCUGUUCUUAUAUUAUGUGUAAUAUAAUUAUGUUCUUCAGUAUAUUAGUAUCUACAAAGCACCACCUUUAUGAUCAUAUCACUAUUUAGCUCCACAGAUCAUGCAAUUAUUAUGUCUAAACUA